GACGAACGCUGGCGGAAUGCUUUACACAUGCAAGUCGAACGGUAGAGGGGGCAACCCCUUGAGAGUGGCGAACGGGUGAGUAAUGUAUCGGAACGUGCCCAGUCGUGGGGGAUAACGUAGUGAAAAUUACGCUAAUACCGCAUACGAUCUAUGGAUGAAAGCGGGGGAUCGCAAGACCUCGCGCGAUUGGAGCGGCCGAUAUCAGAUUAGGUAGUUGGUGGGGUAAAGGCUCACCAAGCAAACGAUCUGUAGCUGGUCUGAGAGGACGACCAGCCACACUGGAAGUGAGACACGGUCCAGACUCCUGCGGGAGGCAGCAGUGGGGAAUUUUGGACAAUGGACGCAAGUCUGAUCCAGCCAUUCCGCGUGCAGGACGAAGGCCUUCGGGUUGUAAACUGCUUUUGUACGGAACGAAAAAGCUCUUAUUAAUACUAGGAGUCCAUGACGGUACCGUAAGAAUAAGCACCGGCUAACUACGUGCCAGCCGCCGCGGUAA
rnacentral:rRNA from 1 species